rnacentral:rRNA from 1 species
UUCCAGACUCCUACGGGAGGCAGCAGUGGGGAAUAUUGCACAAUGGGGGAAACCCUGAUGCAGCGACGCCGCGUGAGCGAGGAAGUAUUUCGGUAUGUAAAGCUCUGUCAGCAGGGAAGAAGAAUGACGGUACCUGAAGAAGAAGCACCGACUAAAUACGUGCCAGCAGCCGCGGUAAUACGUAUGGUGCAAGCGUUAUCCGGAUUUACUAGGUGUAAAGGGAGCGCAGGCGGUUCUGCAAGUCUGAUGUGAAAGCCCGGGGCUCAACCGCGGGACUGCAUUGGAAUCUGCGGGACUGGAGUGUCGGAGGGGUAAGCGGAAUUCCUGGUGUAGCGGUGAAAUGCGUAGAUAUCAGGAGGAACACCGGUGGCGAAGGCGGCUUACUGGACGAUGACUGACGCUGAGGCUCGAAAGCGUGGGGAGCAAACAGGAUUAGAUACCCGUGUAAC